UGAUAAAAUCAUAAUGUUGCCUUUUCUGUCACCUUAAACCUAAAGCCCAGGCAUAUUUACCAUUCAUUUAGAAGCUGGCACCUCCCUGGCAUUGAUUUUGGCAUUGGCACAGGGAUAAAAGCAGCUGUGUCGUGCUACCAGGUCGGGUGAGGAGCAAACAAGAGCAGUUCCAUCUCCCAGGCUGCAGCCAUGCCCCAUUCCCACACGGCCAUCCUUGGGCGGGGACGGCUGAAACCGCUCCAUGCCAUUCCUCUUCAUGUUUUUUAUGGAAUAUUCUGAUGUGGCCAUCCUUGCACCACCACCAAAGAUAAACCCUGCUGAGGUAGGAGUCAGCAAAGCAAAGCAGCCCUGUGCCGGGGCUGAGGUUUCCAGGGAGCAGGAGGGCUCUGGCAGCCGAAGGCCGGAGCUGUUCCAGCGCUCCGAAGCUCCGGCCGUGCCCGUGAUGUGUUCAGCUGUCACCGUGCCAGCGUGGGACAUAAACAACUCAGCACAACACUUUGAAUAGUGGGAUUUGCUGGUUGCAAACAGCACAAAAAGCAGGGAACAAUGGAACUCUGUCCAUAAUGCAGAUAAAAUACCUACUCUGAGGAGAGCCUCAGAGAGAGCAAAAACUGUUUAAAGGGGGGGAAAAAAAACCCCAUGAAAGCUUUGCUUGCAUUUCCAGCUGGCAGAGAGGGCUUGUUUAAUUUAGUGGUGUUUACUUAGGUUUGGUAAAAUACAUCUUUAAAUUCGGAAGGCCAGUGGAAAAUACCUUAAUGAUGAGCAGUCUUCACCAAAAGCCUAAGAAAUUGUAGUUGGGUUGUGUGCCGUGCAAAUCAGGCCUCAAGGAAAGGAAAUAUUAUCACAGCUACCAAAAUAAGGUGGUUUGUGAAUAGGAUUCCUGACAACUUACUCAAUAUUUCAGUUCUGAUCCAAGAAGAAAAUACUUGCUAUUAAAUACGUGAUUUUUUUUUGUCAAGCAAUUGUUAGGUUAAAAUAAAUCUAUUUACUUAUCUUUAAGUAAAAACCUCCAAAGAAAAGAUAAAAUCAUAUGACUCUGUUUCCUGUGAUUGUUUCCUUACUUUCUUUUCCAUUUUCAUUGGAAGGGAGCAAAAGACACUGAGAAAAUGGCAUUUUUUUUUUUUUGUAGAGGUUGUGGCAUUCAUGCAAGAGGUAAGAAAGCUGUAAUUGAGAUUAAUUGCUAGCAAAUGCUUGUUUAAAAAAAAAAACCAGUUUCAACCACAGGUAACAGACAUACAUCACUCCAAAGUGUCCUCUAAUUCAGUAAUUCAGCUAGGAAAUAGCAGGUAGGAAAAGCAGGUUUCAGUUUUUGAGGUAAAGGAGAGAAAUCUCUCAAAUUUCCACAGCUGGGGGAAGAAUUUAUCUUGUACCCUGUUGAGAUGCCGCUUCACUUCUGUGUCUACAAAUUUGGGGAUCUUUUGUCAAUCUUUUCUCCCCCAAAAUGCAACCUGAAAAAUUCAGCCCCAAUUCACAUAAAAUUUCAGCAUUUUAAUUGUACAUCCAUAAACUACCAUAAAUAUUUGUUAUUUUCACCAGUUGCUGCUGGACUAUUUAUAAAGAAGAAUUUAAUUUAA